UUUUUUUUCAUUUUCCUUAAUGACGAAACGACAUCUGCACGUGCAUUGCAAAGGAUAAAUAGAGUAGAAAACCGUCAAAGUAGGGUUAGGUUGAAACGCGUGUAUAUAAACAAAAAAACACUCAACAAUUAAUAUACAAUAUGAUCAUUGCUUAUGUUAUUGAUGAAUAACAAAUAUCAGAGGUUUUAGGAAAUUCGAUGUACUAAUCAGGUUACUGAUAAAUCGAGACCUGCUGGAUACGUGUUUGUGACGAGUUUAUUCAAAUUGUAUGCAUUCUUAUUAACUUUUAAUAUUUUACUGGGGAUCGGUAAUUAUCGAACACCCGUCAUUUGCUGGCAGCUGCGCUACUGUCCUCCAGGCCUUGUUGAUUGAUGUUACGAUUAUGACUGACGUAUACGUAUCUACACACGUAUGAUAUACGAUGUGAAUGUAUAUAUGCAUAUGUAUCUCAUAACACGACUGAUAUAGUUAGUCAAUCGCGUAAUAAACAUAAAAGCAGAUAGGGCCGUUUCUCGCGAUUUCCCGUGACGAGCAAUAACUUAAUGCGUAAGCAUUGGCCGUCAAUAAGACGCCGAUAUUGCUUUUGUCGUAAUUAUUUGAGGAUUUGAGGUUAAGGUUACUCGAGAUAUAAAUUAUCGUUGAUAAUAGUUUUAUUGUUUUUGAUUUAUUAAUCACCAGUGUCUUCGUGUUAAACAGUUGCGUUAAACCUUGAUCAUUCGAUAAGACAAGAAGCUAGAUAUGAGACUCGUACGAAAAAGGUCUUUAUAAAUUCCUGCUUAUGAUCCUGGAACGUUUCCUAGAAAAUUUUCCCGGCAGUCGUGCACAACCAAGGAAUUCGACUGGGCACGUAUAAAUAAAACCGCUCCGACGCCAAUGCACAGCGAAUAAACGACUUCCUUGGAAUUGGUAUGCAUGAGUCAGUCUUCUAUGUAUGGAUGCGUACAGAGUUCCAGUGGAGGAUAAAUGACGUCUAACAAUAAAUAGAAGUACAAAUGUAUAAAAGUUAUAUACAAAGUGAAAGCAGUCUGAUUGAGCGGUUCAGCUAAGUAUCUGCUUUGAUUGAUCUGUCAUAAAAGUGGAUUGGGUCCGAUCGAUCCCAAAUAUUUACUGAACGCCGCAUAAAGUUGUCCAGCUCUUUGUACUUCCUCGGCCCUGCAAAUAAAGGAGGUUUUUAUUGGAUUGUAAAAUAAGUAAUCAGUACGGUAAUUAAGUGAAUAACGAUUACGUACUUUAAAUCGCUUAAAUCACGUUCCUUAUGAAGAAUCAUUUCCUUGAGCUGUUUUCGUUCUUUGUCACGUUCUCGCAGAGCCUCAGCAUGACUGCUCGUCUUUCAAUAAACUGUAACGACGCUGAGGUUCAAUCAGUUCACUCUGAAGUGACGCCACUUGACGCUGUAACGUCUGAACGAUCCUUUGAGAGUCUUGAAGCUUUUCAUCCAGCGCAGCUUUUUCUUCCUUCACC